rnacentral:rRNA from 1 species
GACGUAGGGCGCGAGCGUUGUCCGGAUUUAUUGGGCGUAAAGAGCUCGUAGGCGGCUUGUUGCGUCGUCCGUGAAAACCUGGGGCUCAACUCCAGGCUUGCGGUCGAUACGGGCAGGCUAGAGUUCGGUAGGGGAGACUGGAAUUCCUGGUGUAGCGGUGAAAUGCGCAGAUAUCAGGAGGAACACCAGUGGCGAAGGCGACUACCUGGCCUGUUCUUGACGCUGAGGCGCGAAAGCUAGGGGAGCAAACGGG